rnacentral:lncRNA from 1 species
CGAGGCUUCAGGAUCCCGCCAGGGACUGGGCGGGGCGCUCUUGGUUCGGGGAGCGGAGUGGGGACCCGCACACUCUGCGGUCCAGAGGCUGGAGGGGAACGACUGUGACCUGGUGGGGACCCCUGGCUAGAACAAGUUUCCAGGGUGAGGGGUGGCGGUACAAGAAGAGACAGAGGGAAGGUGAAGAAGCAAAUGCAUAAAGAGGGUAAAAAAUUCUCCAGGAGGGACGGGGAUGAGGAUGCGGAAGGAGGGGACAGUGACAGGCCCGCGAAGGAGAAGGGCAAGCGGGACGCGGAGGGCAAGCAGGCCCAGAGGAGUUAACGGAAAGGAGUUAACGAAAAGAAGGAAGAGAAAGCCUCGGACGUGCGCGAACGGGGAAGGGACGGAGAGCCAGGAGAGAGGGAGACCGAACCCCGCCCUCAGGCUCCGGGCCUCCAGCCCUGGGUCCGGGAGCGCGCCGAGCUUCCGGGGGAUCCGCGCGGCGCGGGGGCGGCGGGCGGGGCGAGGCUCUCCGGGUCCCACCUCCAGCCUCUCCGCCCGGCCGGCGUUCUUCUCGGCGACUCCGGGAUGCCGGCGGCGCCCGAUGCUGCCUCCCUCCGGCGUCCUGCGCGGAGCGGACGCAUCCUUCGUCCUCCGAGUGGCCAUGGCCUUUAAACUUCCCAGUCCUCGGCUGGGAGAGGGGUGCGCCAAGUUUUCAGCUGUGAGGUUCCCUUGCUCCUCUACCCCCGCCUCCCCUAAAGGCCUCCAAGGUGUCAAGCCUCUGGACACUGGAUGCGGCAACCCUCCCCCCUCCCCCCUCCAUACACAUGCCCCGGGCGAGGGAGUCGCGAGGCCACCUCCCCAGGAUCUGUGAUAGUGAGGACAUCUCUUGAUCCAUGAGAAAACUUGCAUCAUUUCCAUUUGGGAGGCAAGUUCAAGGGCCAUCCCUUUUGUGAAUGACAGCAUCAGCGGAUUUUAAAAAAGAGGAUUGGGGAGAAGAAAAGAGAUGGAAGAAGAGGAGAGGAGGAAAAAAGGAAAUUGAAGCAGAGAAGUAACAUAUAAUAAUCCUAGGCUUAAGCUAGAUUUAUUUUGGGAAAAGAUGAUUCUCUGUUCCUGAAAUGUUCUAAUUUCUUGCGUAUCUAACUAUCCACUGCUGAUUGUAAGGAUUGCAAUCGUCAAUGACAGGUUUGCUUGCUUGGUUCUUUCUCUGAUGAAUCCAUUUAAUUCUGUGGCCACUGUGACUUUCAUAGAAGAGCUGCCUCACAGUCGCAUGAGAAUACAUCAAUUUUUGUUUGGCUCAUACACAUCUUCUCAAAAUGACUUCAGUAGAGUAAGUAGAAGAACUUUAAUAGGAUUGGAAGAUCAAAGAUGGUGAGAAGAUUUAAGGAUAUCGUCAGUACAUCAAGAAUAAUAAAAUUAAACAUGUCUGAAAACAGAUGAUUGUAAGCAAUUUUGAUAGAGAUAGUCUCUUCCCCUCAAGUAACUUAAAAACCCUAAUUGGAUGAGCUGAUUUGGACAGUCAUCCCAGCCCCAGUGAAAUAAAUGUAUGGAAAGUAUAUAAAAAAUCCUUGUGAAACUUAGCACAUUAAAUUUUGUUCCUACUCACAAAUCCGCUGCUUAGAUGACUCUCCAGAGAAGAUGUCUUCUUUUUUUAUUUUAUUUUAUUUUAUUUUAUUUUUUCCAACUUUAUUGAGAUAUGAUUGUAUGACAUUGUAUAAAUUUAAGGUGUACAACAUGUUGAUUUGAUCCACUUAUAUAUUGCAAUAUGAUUACCAACAUAGGUUAGCUAGCACUUUCAUCAA